CUAGCGUGUGGAGCCUCCAGGCGGUGCUCACCGCAGCCACCAUGUAAGUACAUACCCUUCCCCUUCUCUCCUCUUCCACCUGCCCACUUCCCGAUUACAGAUUUUUAAAAAUAUAAAUUACAUAUGAGUUUAUAUAGAAAAAGGAAAGCUAAAUAAUGCUUCUUUUCGCUUAUACAAUAUCCUUGACAAGUAACAUUUGGGACCCUCCAGUUGCCUCUAAUUUACAAUCUAAACUUUAAGGCCAACCAAUAAUUCUUAUUCCCAUCUACCAAAAUCUAACUUACUCAGCUUCAAGGACAGCCUGUUGAAGUCUCCUAACUCUUCCAAGUAUUUGUCUUAUUUAAUGUUCCCAGGGACAAAUGAGAACACAUUACAAGCAAGUAAACAAAAUGAAAUAUUUAUGUUGGAAAGCACCUGAGUGUGAUAGAUCAAUGGAUGUAUAUAAUGGCUAAGACAUCUAAACCACAGUCUACAAAGAACUGCAGUUUUAAGUACAUAGGUAAAUGAGUAAAAAAAUAAAAUCCAUCGAUUCCAUCAAUAUAUUAAUCCUGGUGAGUCUUUCUGUACAGCUCAGUUAAUUCCUAAAAAUCAAUCGUGUUCAAAGGUGGAGAUUCUAAGAGGCAAAGAACUUUCAAGCAACAUGUGCUAGCAUGUAUUACUUCAGUGGCACCAAAAAAAGACAUUUGUUAAUUUAAAGGGAUUAUGGGCAAAGCUACAGGGAAGUCAGUCCAUCCUGCUAUGCCUUAGGUCACUCCUAUUGAGAGUGGAACAUAGGGGAUUUGUCCCCUCCUUGACAGGGUGUUGCUUAUUACCAUGUCGGUGCUGUGUUUAUCCCAUGUUCCUAUCUGAUCUUCCCAGGCAGCAUACAUUUGCCAUAAACUUGUACAUUCUGGAAUAUACAGGUUCCAAAAUUUUCCAAUUUUCUGUCUACUAAUUUGGACAAGUUACUUAACACUUCAAACUAUAAAGUGUACCAUAAUCCUCUCAUCUAUAAAAUGUACCAUAAAGCCUGUGUCCCAGGGUUGUCACAAGGAUUAAAUGAUAUGAAGAAUGUAAAGUGCUUAGUAUGGUGCCAAGCACACAGUAAACACUAGAAAAUGCUACUUUUAUAUUCUUACCUUCCAAUCCUUUGUUUAAAAAUGGCCAUUUAAUGUGGGGUUUGUCUGCUGUCUUUUCUUUCAUUCCUACACCUACCACCUAACUAAACUAAUUCCUAAACAUGACAAUUGACACAAUCUUUACCUGUAUGCCCCCUUGUGCUGUUAGGUAUCCAAUGGUCUUAUCAAUCUCCCAUAACAUUGUACACAAUUACAAUGUACAGGCUGCACAUACUCUUCUCUUGGUUUUCUCUUGCCAGUGUUUAGUACAUGCACAGACAACAAAUGUGCAAUGAAUGUUGUUGCCUUAGCUCUCUGACAGCUGAAGAGAUACAGCACUUCCAGGUUGUAAUAUUUACUGUCUGCAUCAUACAACUGAGUAACUAGUUAACCAACCAUCCAAGGAAGAAAAUAACAGGCUGAUCAGAACUUAUGGUAACAGCUCCUGUGGGUCGAUUUCGGAAUUCACCUUCUUACUCAGUGUGUUUAGCUACUUCUAUAGGAGAGACACUCUGUGGCUACAUGUCAUAAUUUUUCUUCAGUAUAUGGGCUGCUGUACAAAUAGAUGCAAUCAGCAAGAAAGAAGCUGCUUACUUUCUCAAGCUUGGUAAAUACCAUACCAGGAGAUGAGUCAUCUUUGCUAGAAGAUAUAUAACAAAACAAUCAUAGAAGGUUUGCAAGAUAAAUAAAAAUAUCAUAACUGGAUGUUAAGGAAAUUAACCUGUAUAGGGCAACAAAAGAAAACUCGCUGAUUAGGCCCAUACUUACUUUAAUUUAUACUCAGUUAACCCCAGUUAAUAAAACAGAUGAAGUACUACUUUUCCUUAUGGAAGAAGUUCAAGCUGAUUUUUUAAGGAACCAUGUGACCUGUCCCAUCCUAAAUUACCAUAUCAAAGAAGUAAAUUAAAUCGCAAAACUGGUAUCUGAAAAUGACAUCUACAGUUUUCUGCUGCUGUUUAUUUAAUUUUUUUUUUCAUUUUGUUUUAUUUUAUUUUUGCUUAUCCCCCCACCACCCCUGCUGUUGACUCCAGAAUGUUUAAAUAUAAUAGAAAGAGAUUCCAGGAGGCCAUCUGGUUGUAAGAGAAAGACAAAGGACCAGCCUUGCAGUUGUCUGAGUAAAGCAAUCACACUUUUUUGCUAAGACAGCAGGCACAUUUGGGGGGGGGUGCUGUUAGGAGGCUUUCUGAUGGAGAACCCAGUUAGCCACUCUCUGGUACUACCACUGUUAUUUUAAAAUGCUAGAGAAGCUGGGAUGGAUGCAAACUAACUCUCAUAAGAAAAGCCUAUAGCACUGUCACUAUAAAGGAUCCAAGUGGCAGCAGGUAAUCCUUGAGUUGCCUUGGGUAAUUCCUUCACUAUACAGCUAAGUUUACUCACCUGUAAAAGAAAGGAGGUGGACAAAAUCAAUUCUAGUAUCCUGCAAUUCUUUUAUUACUAAAAUUGUAUCAAUGUUUAGCAACUGGCAAUAUUUUAUAAAACUAAAUUCUCAUUUUGGACUCUCUGUUUCCAGCAAGAAGAACAUACAGCAAAGUUCAUGUUGAGAGGUAGCCUAUAUGCAAGUAAGCGGUACAAGGCAGUGGAGAAGAGCUCUAGUUUUGUAGGCACAGGUCUGGGCUCACAGUCCCGUUCCACCACUCCAGUUGUGUGACCAUGGAUAAGUCCUGCUGUCUAGCCAAGCCUCAGUUCCACCACCUGUAAAGCAGAGAUAAUGGUCUCUACUUCACAGAUUGUUGGAUCUGGGAGGUUGUAAGUAUUGAGUAUUAGUUGCUAUUAUUAAGAAGCUAAACAGAAAUAAAUGCAAAAGCAGCUGAAUAAGGGAUACAUUUAUAUAUUAUAAACCAGAAAAGACCUUUCUGGUGGAUCAGUAUUACAUUUUCAUAAGACAUUUCACCCAAGUAUGACCACUUGCAGGUUUGUAUUGUACUCCUAACCAUUUAAUAUUUAAUAAUUAGCAGCAAAGUUAUUGCAGUAAUAUUCCUCUAGAAAGAUUCUUUUCUCUUAUAAUUCAGGGGUGGGGGGAAGUGAAUAAAGUAUAUGUCUGAUUUAAAACUCUUACCACUUCACACAUCAGACACUCGUCUGAUUUCUUAUUUAAACUGCAGUGAGGUCACACUCCUGGGUUUGUGACAUAGCAGCAGGUUGCUAUGGAGAUGAUAGUUUUAUCAGCAACUCUGCUUUGCAAUGACUUCACAGCAAGGUUACAAUGAAGCAGAUGGGCUGUGAAGAAGAUGAACCUCCUUAUCUAAACACAAAUAGCAUUGAUAAUUAAUUAGCUGAAGCAGCAGGGGAAAUUAUGAAAAUGUGUGGAAGCUUCUCAUGAAUGAGAAGCCAGGGACCCAGGAAGCUUAUAAUUGCUGCUGGCUGUGCCUGUGCUAACCAAACUAUGGCAAGGAGGCUGAUUGAGUGAAGCACUGCAAAUAUUUGUGUGGCUCAAAGAAGCAAGGAGAUGUCCCUAGUUGGGAGCAGGUCUAUAAAACAAGAUGGACAAAAGACUUUACAAAGCUUAAGAAAAUAAAAUGGAGGGCGAGUAGGUGAAAGGGGAAACAUGAAGGGUUUGAGUUCAAACUUGGAUUUAGAUUUUAUGUGAACACAGCUCAAUAUUCAUGCAGCUAGGAAGCCCUUUUAUUCUUUCUGCAAAGGACAAUAAAAUAGCUCCAGACUUCAAACACCCUGUGAGAUGCUCCUACUACAUCUCGGAUUCUGGCCUCCUUCCACCACUUACCCUGUCUUAUUUGAUGUAGCUUCACAGUCCUUGGGCCCCACAACAGAUUGUGCACCACCCACGUACACUUCCGUAUGUGAAGGCAGAGGAGAGAAAUUUGAUGACUCUUGCAAAAGUGGAAAGAAGAAAAUAAAAUGAUAAGGCCAUG